GACGGGGGGGGCAAGUGUUAUUCGGAAUGACUGGGCGUAAAGGGCACGUAGGCAGUGAAUCAGGUUGAAAGUCAAAGACGCCAGCUCAACUGGCGGAAUGCUUUCAAAACCAAUUCACUCGAGUGAGAUAGAGGGGAGUGGAAUUUCGUGUGUAGGGACAAAAUCCGGAGAUAUACGAAGGAACGCCGAAGUAGCGAAGGCAGCUUUCUGGGUCUCUACUGACGCUAGGGUGCGAAAGCGUGGGGAGCAAACAGG
rnacentral:rRNA from 1 species